rnacentral:rRNA from 1 species
AUGAUUAAGAUAGCUUGCUAUUUUUAUGAAGAGCGGCGAACGGGUGAGUAACGCGUGGGAAAUCUGCCGAGUAGCGGGGGACAACGUUUGGAAACGAACGCUAAUACCGCAUAACAAUGAGAAUCGCAUGAUUCUUAUUUAAAAGAAGCAAUUGCUUCACUACUUGAUGAUCCCGCGUUGUAUUAGCUAGUUGGUAGUGUAAAGGACUACCAAGGCGAUGAUACAUAGCCGACCUGAGAGGGUGAUCGGCCACACUGGGACUGAGACACGGCCCAGACUCCUACGGGAGGCAGCAGUAGGGAAUCUUCGGCAAUGGGGGCAACCCUGACCGAGCAACGCCGCGUGAGUGAAGAAGGUUUUCGGAUCGUAAAACUCUGUUGUUAGAGAAGAACGUUAAGUAGAGUGGAAAAUUACUUAAGUGACGGUAUCUAACCAGAAAGGGACGGCUAACUACGUGCCAGCAGCCGCGGUAAUACGUAGGUCCCAAGCGUUGUCCGGAUUUAUUGGGCGUAAAGCGAGCGCAGGUGGUUUCUUAAGUCUGAUGUAAAAGGCAGUGGCUCAACCAUUGUGUGCAUUGGAAACUGGGAGACUUGAGUGCAGGAGAGGAGAGUGGAAUUCCAUGUGGUU